GUAGGGAAUAUUGGGCAAUGGAGGCAACUCUGACCCAGCCAUGCCGCGUGCAGGAAGACGGUCCUCUGGAUUGUAAACUGCUUUUGAAUGGGAAGAAACGUAGCUUUGCGAAGCUAUUUGACGGUACUAUUAGAAUAAGCACCGGCUAACUCCGUGCCAGCAGCCGCGGUAAUACGGAGGGUGCAAGCGUUAUCCGGAUUUAUUGGGUUUAAAGGGUGCGUAGGCGGCUUUAUAAGUCUGGGGUUAAAGGCGGCAGCUUAACUGUACGCAUGCCCUGGAAACUGUGAAGCUUGAGUGACUUGGAGGUAGCUAGAAUUCCCUGUGUAGCGGUGAAAUGCAUAGAUACGGGGAGGAAUACCGAUUGCGAAGGCAUGUUACUACGAGUAAACUGACGCUGAUGCACGAAAGCGUGGGGAUCAAACAGGAUUAGAAACCCUUGUAGUCC
rnacentral:rRNA from 1 species